rnacentral:rRNA from 1 species
UCGGGCAGUCCCGAGGGGUUGUGCACCUCGACCACGUCGCCCUGCGUCGUGGUGAUGCGGUACGACACGUUGGGCACGGUCGUGAUGACGUCCAUGUCGAAUUCGCGGUACAGCCGCUCCUGAAUGAUCUCCAUGUGCAGCAGCCCGAGGAAUCCGCAGCGGAACCCGAAUCCGAGCGCCAGCGAGCUUUCCGGCUCGAACGUGAGCGAAGCGUCGUUGAGCUGCAAUUUUUCGAGCGACGCGCGCAGGUCCUCGUACUGGUCGGCCUCCACCGGGUAGACGCCCGCGAAGACCAUCGGCUUCACGUCCUCGAAUCCGGCGAUGGCCUCUUUGGCGGGGUUGGUCACCGAGGUGAUCGUGUCGCCGACCUUCACGUCCGACGAGGUCUUGAUCCCCGAGCAGAUAUACCCCACGUCCCCGGCCCUGAUCUCCUGCCGGGGCUGCAUCUUGAGUUUCAGCACGCCUAUUUCGUCGGCGUCGUACUCGCUGCCCGUGUUGAAAAACUUCACGUGGUCGCCCUUGCGCAGCGUGCCGUUGAAGACGCGGAAAUAGGCGAUGAUGCCGCGGAAGGGGUUGAACACCGAGUCGAAGAUCAAUGCCUGCAACGGAGCGUUCGCAUCGCCCUGAGGCUCCGGAAUCCGCUCGACGAUGGCUUCGAGCACCUCUUCCACGCCCAGUCCCGUUUUGCCGGAGGCGCAGAGGAUCUCGUCCGGGUCGCAACCCAGCAGAUCGACUACCUGAUCCUUCACUUCGUCGAUCAUCGCCGAAUCCAUGUCGAUCUUGUUCAGUACGGGAAUGAUCUUCAGGUCGUGCUCGACGGCCAGGUAGAGGUUCGAUAUGGUCUGCGCCUGAAUACCCUGCGUGGCAUCGACUACGAGCAGAGCCCCUUCGCACGAGGCGAUGGCACGCGAUACCUCAUAGGAAAAGUCCACGUGGCCCGGAGUGUCGAUCAGGUUGAGCACGUAUUUUUCUCGAGAGGGAAACAGCCCGGACCGCCCGCUAAGGUCCCCAAGUUCCAGCCGAGUGGCAAAGGAUGUGCGUCCGCCCAGACAACCAGGAUGUUGGCUUAGAAGCAGCCAUGCAUUCAAAGAGUGCGUAACAGCUCACUGGUCGAGUGGACAUGCGCCGACAAUACACGGGGCUAAGCUGGACACCGAAGCGGCGGGAUUUUGAUUUUCAGAAUCGGUAGGGGAGCUUCCCAUGGGCGGUGAAGCCGCCGGGCGACCGGCGGUGGAGCGCAUGGGAGUGAGAAUGCUGGCAUGAGUAGCGAGAGACGAGAGAGUAACUCGUCCGCCGUGAACCCGAGGUUUCCUGGGCAAGGCUAAUCCUCCCAGGGUCAGUCGGGGGCUAAGGCGAGGCCGGGAGGCGUAGCCGACGCGCAGCAGGCAGACAUUCCUGCACCGCGCACGCGGCGCUACGACCGACGGGGCGACGGAUGGGGGUGGCUCGGCGGGGUUCUGGACGUCCCCGUGAUGGAGCGCGGCCCGCGGACCAGGGAAAUCCGGUCCGCACGAGGGCGAGGCUCCGGACGAAGCGAUCAAGCGAAGCGAGUGAGCCCGAGGUCCCUAGAAAAACCCCUAGGCAGGCGCGUGCGCGCCCGUACCGCAAACCGACACAGGUGGGUGGGUAGAACAUACCGAGGCGAUCGGGUCAACCAUGGUCAAGGAACUCGGCACAAUGGCCCCGUAACUUCGGGAGAAGGGGUGCCCGCGCGUACGUGAACCGGCUUGCCCGGGGAGCGGAGGCGGGCCGCAGUGGAGAGGCCCAAGCGACUGUUUACCAAAAACACAGGACUCUGCAGAAGCCGCAAGGCGACGUAUAGGGUCUGACGCCUGCCCGGUGCCGGAAGGUCACGCGGAGGAGUUAGCGCAUCGCGCGAAGCCCCGAAGCCAAGCCCCGGUAAACGGCGGCCGUAACUAUAACGGUCCUAAGGUAGCGAAAUUCCUUGUCGGGUAAGUUCCGACCUGCACGAAAGGCGCAACGACUUGGGCGCUGUCUCGACCAUGGACCCGGUGAAAUUGCACUGGUCGUGAAGAUGCGACUUACCCGCGGAAGGACGGAGAGACCCCGUGAACCUUCACUGCAGCUUGGCAUUGGCCGCUGGUCCCGCGUGUAGAGGAUAGGCAGGAGGCAUCGAUCCGGAGGCGCCAGCCCCCGGGGAGCCGCCCUUGGAAUACUGCCCUCGCGCGACCGGCGUCCUAACCCGAGGCCGUCAACCGGCUCGGGGACCGUGCCAGGCGGGCAGUUUGACUGGGGCGGUCGCCUCCUAAAGGGUAACGGAGGCGCGCGAAGGUCCGCUCGGGACGGUCGGCAACCGUCCUUUUGAAUGCAAGAGUACAAGCGGGCUUGACUGCGAGGCCCACAAGCCGAGCAGGUGCGAAAGCAGGCUCUAGUGAUCCGGCGGCCCCGAGUGGGUGGGCCGUCGCUCAACGGAUAAAAGGUACUCCGGGGAUAACAGGCUGAUCUUGCCCAAGAGUCCACAUCGACGGCAAGGUUUGGCACCUCGAUGUCGGCUCAUCGCAUCCUGGGGCUGGAGCAGGUCCCAAGGGUACGGCUGUUCGCCGUUUAAAGCGGUACGCGAGCUGGGUUCAGAACGUCGUGAGACAGUUCGGUCCCUAUCCUCCGUGGGCGCAGGAGAAUCGAUGGAGGCUGCCCCCAGUACGAGAGGACCGGGGUGGACGCACCUCCGGUGAACCGGUUGUCGACCAACGGCACGGCCGGGUAGCCGCGUGCGGCGCGGAUAACCGCUGAAGGCAUCUAAGCGGGAAGCCGUUCCAGGGAUUAGUUCUCCUUCCGGUAAGGGCCCAGGUAGACUACCUGGUCGAUAGACGGCAGGUGCAAGGCUGGCGACAGCCUCAGCCGAGCCGCACUAAUCGCCCGAGCUCUUCCGGAA